GGAAGGAGGGUGUGAGGGUGACAUGUCGCCCCACUGAUCACCAGGGUUGAUUUGGCUGGUCUGGCUGGCUGGACAGAUGCCCCCUUCCCCUCUCUGCUCCAUGUAAGUCCCGCCCGAAGCUGCACCCUCCAUUGAAAAGGACCUUGCCCAAAUAGAGGAGGAUGGUCUUCAGUCAAGGGUGUAGAGUAGCUGUGUGCCUUCCAAAACCUCCAAAGAAGUUCUCAGAUGAGGAAGGAACUGGGAUCCUAAAAUGUGUGU
rnacentral:snRNA from 1 species